rnacentral:sRNA from 1 species
AUCUUCUUGAUAUACAUUUUCUGGCAAUGGUGGUAGCCAUGGACGCUUAACUUCUUCAAUUUCUAAUCGUGUUGUAAUAGAUUCGAUAUGAUCGAUAACC